rnacentral:rRNA from 1 species
GACAGGGGGGGCAGGUGUUAUUCAUAGUAAAUUGGCGUAAAGGGUACGUAGGUUGUAAAUUUAAUUGAUUGUAAAAAUUUAAAUUAAUCUUUAAAAAGCAAUUAAUAAUAAUUUACUUGAGUUAAGUUAAAGUUGAGGGAAUUUUUAGUGGAGAGGUAAAAUUUGUAGAUAUUAAAAAAGAACACCUAAAGUGAAAACAUUUAGCUGUAUUUAACUGACACUGAGGUACGAAGGUGUGGGUAGCAAACAGG